GACGAACGCUGGCGGCGUGCUUAACACAUGCAAGUCGAGCGGUAAGGCCCUUUCGGGGGUACACGAGCGGCGAACGGGUGAGUAACACGUGGGUGACCUGCCUUUAGCUCUGGGAUAAGCCUGGGAAACUGGGUCUAAUACCGGAUAUGACCCUAUGGCGCAUGUUGUGGGGUGGAAAGCCUUGUGCGGCUAGGGAUGGGCCCGCGGCCUAUCAGCUUGUUGGUGGGGUGAUGGCCUACCAAGGCGACGACGGGUAGCCGGCCUGAGAGGACGACCAGCCACACUGGGACUGAGACACGGCCCAGACUCCUACGGGAGGCAGCAGUGGGGAAUAUUGGACAGUGGCGCAAGCCUGAUCCAGCGAUGCCGCGUGUGUGAAGAACGG
rnacentral:rRNA from 1 species